CCUACGGGAGGCAGCAGUGAGGAAUAUUGGUCAAUGGGCGCGAGCCUGAACCAGCCAAGUCGCGUGAAGGAUGACUGCCCUACGGGUUGUAAACUUCUUUUAUAAAGGAAUAAAGUGAGGCACGUGUGCCUUUCUGUAUGUUAUUUAUGAAUAAGGCACGGCUAAAGCCGUUCCAGCAGCCGCGGUAAUACGGAGGAUCCGAGCGUUUACCGGCUUUAAUGGGUUUAAAGGGAGCGUAGAUGGGUUGUUAAGUCAGUCGUGAAAGUUUGCGGCUCAACCGCAAAAUUGCCAUUGAUACUGGCAGCCUUGAGUACAGGUGAGGUAGGCGGAAUUCGUGGUGUAGCGGUGAAAUGCUUAGAUAUCACGAAGAACCCCGAUUGCGAAGGCAGCCUACUAAAGUGCCACUGACAUUGAUGCACGAAAGUGUGGGUAUCAAACAGGAUUAGAUACCCCAGUAGUC
rnacentral:rRNA from 1 species